ensembl:lncRNA
GAGACAUUUUAUUUCUUUUCUUCUCACAUUUCAUUUUCUUGUGUGUCUGUUUUCAUGUGUGGUGGGUGUAUUUACAUUUUCACAUUAAACUUGUACAUUUAUUUUCACAUCUUUUCCCCCCAUGUUCGUGUUUGUGUAGUGUUGUGCGGUGUAGUGUUGUGUAUGUGUUUGUGUAGUGUAGUCUAUGUUGUUGUGUAGUGUAAUGUAGUGUAGGUUAGUGUAGUGUUGUGUAGUGUAGUGUUGUGUAGUGUAGUGUUGUGUAGUGUUGUGUAGUGUAGGUUAGUGUAGUGUAGUGUAGUGUAGGUUAAUGUAGUGUAGUGUAGUGUAGUGUAGUGUAUGUGUUUGUGUAGUGUAUGUGUUUGUGUAGUGUUUGUGUAGCACUGUGUAGUGUAGUGUCUGUGUAGCACUGGUAUGCUGAUUAUUUCCAGCACACACCGGUGUAGUGUUUGUGUAGUGUAUGUGUUUGUGUAGUGUUUGUGUAGUGUAUGUGUUUGUGUAGUGUA